UACGUAGGGUGCGAGCGUUGUCCGGAAUUAUUGGGCGUAAAGGGCUCGUAGGCGGUUUGUCGCGUCGGGAGUGAAAACUCAGGGCUUAACCCUGAGCCUGCUUCCGAUACGGGCAGACUAGAGGUAUGCAGGGGAGAACGGAAUUCCGUGGUGUAGCGGUGAAAUGCGCAGAUAUCAGGAGGAACACCGGGUGGCGAAGGCGGCGAUCUGGGUCGAUACUGACGCUGAGGAGCGAAAGCGUGGGGAGCGAACAGG
rnacentral:rRNA from 1 species